rnacentral:rRNA from 1 species
CCUACGGGUGGCAGCAGUGAGGAAUAUUGGUCAAUGGGCGAGCGCCUGAACCAGCCAAGUCGCGUGAAGGAUGACGGCCCUAUGGGUUGUAAACUUCUUUUGUCAGGGAGCAAUUGGGUCCACGCGUGGGCUUAGCGAGAGUACCUGAAGAAAAAGCAUCGGCUAACUCCGUGCCAGCAGCCGCGGUAAUACGGAGGAUGCGAGCGUUAUCCGGAUUUAUUGGGCGUAAAGGGAACGCAGGCGGUCGUUUAAGUCUGAUGUGAAAGCCGUCGGCUUAACCGGAGUAGUGCAUUGGAAACUGGGAGACUUGAGUGCAGAAGAGGAGAGUGGAACUCCAUGUGUAGCGGUGAAAUGCGUAGAUAUAAGGAGGAACACCAGUGGCGAAGGCGACGAUCUGGGCUGCAACUGACGCUCAGUCCCGAAAGCGUGGGGAGCAAAUAGGAUUAGAUACCCUUGUAGUC